rnacentral:rRNA from 1 species
GACGAACGCUGGCGGCGUGCUUAACACAUGCAAGUGGAGCGACGAACCAGGCUUCGGCCUGGGGCAGAGCCGCGAACGGGUGAGUAACACGUGGGUAACCUGCCCCGAUGACUGGGACAACCCGGGGAAACCCGGGCUAAUACCGGAUGUGCUGCUCUCGCAUAUGCGAGUUCAGGAAAGGAAGCUUCGGCCUCCGACUCCGGAUGGGCCCGCGGCCCAUUAGCUUGUUGGUGAGGUACCGGCUCACCAAGGCUGCGAUGGGUAGCUGGUCUGAGAGGACGAUCAGCCACACUGGGACUGAGACACGGCCCAGACUCCUACGGGAGGCAGCAGUGGGGGAUCUUGCGCAAUGCGCGAAAGCGUGACGCAGCAACGCCGCGUGGGGGAAGACGGCCUUCGGGUUGUAAACCCCUUUCAGGAGGGACGAAGCCCGGGCGGUUAAUAGCCGACCCGGGUGACGGUACCUCCAGAAGAAGCCCCGGCUAACUACGUGCCAGCCGCCGCAGUAAUAC